UACGUAGGGUGCAAGCGUUGCCCGGAUUUAUUGGGCGUAAAGGGCGCGCAGGCGGCUACGCACGUCCGUUGUGAAAUCGCUCGGCUCAACUGGGCGGGGUCGGCGGAUACGGCGUAGCUGGAGCAAGCUAGGGGGCAAUGGAAUUCCCGGUGUAGUGGUGGAAUGCGUAAAUAUCGGGAGGAACACCAGUGGCGAAGGCGGUUGCCUGGAGCUUUGCUGACGCUGAGGCGCGAAAGCGUGGGGAGCGAACAGG
rnacentral:rRNA from 1 species